rnacentral:misc_RNA from 1 species
GAUGAAGAACGUAGCGAAAUGCGAUAAGUAAUGCGAAUUGCAGAUUUCAGUGAGUCAUCGAAUCUUUGAACGCACAUUGCGCCCGCCAGUAUUCUGGCGGGCAUGCCUGUUCGAGCGUCAUUUCAACCCUCGAGCCCCCCCGGGGGCCUCGGUGUUGGGGGACGGCACACCAGCCGCCCCCGAAAUGCAGUGGCGACCCCGCCGCAGCCUCCCCUGCGUAGUAGCACACACCUCGCACCGGAGCGCGGAGGCGGUCACGCCGUAAAACGCCCAACUUUCUUAGAGUUGACCUCGGAUCAGGUAGGAAUACCCGCUGAACUUAAGCAUAUCAAUAAGCGGAGGA